rnacentral:rRNA from 1 species
GACGAACCGUGCGAACGUUAUUCGGAAUCACUGGGCUUAAAGGGCGCGUAGGCGGCCGCUCAAGUCCGGGGUGAAAGCCCCCAGCUCAACUGGGGAAGUGCCUCGGAUACUGAGUGGCUCGAGGGAGGUAGGGGCGUGUGGAACUUCCGGUGGAGCGGUGAAAUGCGUAGAGAUCGGAAGGAACGCCGGUGGCGAAAGCGACACGCUGGACCUCUUCUGACGCUGAGGCGCGAAAGCCAGGGGAGCAAACGGG